CAAUAGCGUAUAUUAAAGUUGUUGCAGUUAAAAAGCUCGUAGUUGAACUUCAGGCUUGGCGGGGUGGUCUGCCUAACGGUAUGUACUAUCCGGCUGAGCCUUACCUCCUGGUGAGCCUGCAUGUCGUUUAUUCGGUGUGUAGGGGAACCAGGAAUUUUACUUUGAAAAAAUUAGAGUGUUCAAAGCAGGCAUAUGCCCGAAUACAUUAGCAUGGAAUAAUAGAAUAGGACGUGCGGUUCUAUUUUGUUGGUUUCUAGGGUCGCCGUAAUGAUUAAUAGGGACGGUUGGGGGCAUUAGUAUUCAGUUGCUAGAGGUGAAAUUCUUAGAUUUACUGAAGACUAACUACUGCGAAAGCAUUUGCCAAGGACGUUUUCAUUAA
rnacentral:rRNA from 1 species